rnacentral:rRNA from 1 species
CUACACACGUGCUACAAUGCCGGUACAGACGGACGCAAAGCCGCGAGGUGGAGCAAAUCCUAAAAAGCCGGUCUCAGUUCGGAUUGCAGGCUGCAAUUCGCCUGCAUGAAGUCGGAAUCGCUAGUAAUCGCAGGUCAGCAUACUGCGGUGAAUACGUUCCCGGGCCUU